rnacentral:rRNA from 1 species
UAGCUAGUUGGUGAGGUAAAGGCUUACCAAGGCGACGAUCUGUAGCGGGUCUGAGAGGAUGAUCCGCCACACUGGAACUGAGACACGGUCCAGACUCCUACGGGAGGCGGCAGUGGGGAAUUUUGGACAAUGGGGGCAACCCUGAUCCAGCCAUGCCGCGUGAGUGAAGAAGGCCUUCGGGUUGUAAAGCUCUUUCGGCCGGGAAGAAAUCGCAUGGGCCAAUACCCUGUGUGGAUGACGGUACCGGAAUAAGAAGCACCGGCUAACUACGUGCCAGCAGCCGCGGUAAUACGUAGGGUGCGAGCGUUAAUCGGAAUUACUGGGCGUAAAGCGUGCGCAGGCGGUUUUGUAAGACAGGCGUGAAAUCCCCGGGCUUAACCUGGGAACUGCGUUUGUGACUGCAAGGCUAGAGUACGGCAGAGGGGGGUGGAAUUCCACGUGUAGCAGUGAAAUGCGUAGAGAUGUGGAGGAACACCAAUGGCGAAGGCAGCCCCCUGGGUCGAUACUGACGCUCAUGCACGAAAGCGUGGGUAGCAAACAGGAUUAGAUACCCUGGUAGUCCACGCCCUAAACUAUGUCAACUAGGUGUUGGGUGGGUAAAACCAUUUAGUACCGUAGCUAACGCGUGAAGUUGACCGCCUGGGGAGUACGGCCGCAAGGUUAAAACUCAAAGGAAUUGACGGGGACCCGCACAAGCGGUGGAUGAUGUGGAUUAAUUCGAUGCAACGCGAAAAACCUUACCUACCCUUGACAUGCCAGGAACUUGCCAGAGAUGGCUUGGUGCCCGAAAGGGAGCCUGGACACAGGUGCUGCAUGGCUGUCGUCAGCUCGUGUCGUGAGAUGUUGGGUUAAGUCCCGCAACGAGCGCAACCCUUGUCGUUAAUUGCCAUCAUUUAGUUGGGCGCUUUAACGAGACUGCCGGUGACAAACCGGAGGAAGGUGGGGAUGACGUCAAGUCCUCAUGGCCCUUAUGGGUAGGGCUUCACACGUCAUACAAUGGUCGGUACAAAGGGUUGCCAAGCCGCGAGGCGGAGCCAAUCCCAGAAAGCCGAUCGUAGUCCGGAUUGCAGGCUGCAACUCGCCUGCAUGAAGUCGGAAUCGCUAGUAAUCGUGGAUCAGCAUGUCACGGUGAAUACGUUCCCGGUCUUGUACACACCGCCCGUCACACCAUGGGAGCGGGUUCCGCCAGAAGUAGGUAGCCUAACCGCAAGGGGGGCGCUUACCACGGCGGGGUUCGUGACUGGGGUGAAGUCGAAACAAGGUAGCCGUAGGGGAACCUGCGGCUG